UGAAUUAAUAGGCUUAAACUAUCUACUACCAAUCAAAAUCCAAUAUUAGAUCAUACUUUAAUCAUGCAAAAAUCUUUGAAAAUGUGACUUCAAUUACACUUUUUUGAAUCAAAUUUAGAGCUGCCCUCUUUUUGAAUGUUCCUUUUUAGUGCACUUUUGCAAUAGCUGGCCUCUGCCAAAGAUUAAUGUGGACAGCUUUAUAGCAGAAAUCCGGACAGACUAGUUCAAAUUUAUUACUAUUAAUGUACUUGUCUUUUCCAUUGAUUGGAUUGAAGGUUGCAUUUUGUUAUUGGAAAAUGUUUCUUUCAAUUUAGAUAAAACCCGGAUAUUUAGCUGUACAUUUCUAUGAUUUAUAAAAAUUAAAAUUAGCCCAUUCGAAAAAAAAUCAUCUGAAAAUUGUAAAAAAAAUAUAUAGUUUACUCAUCAUUUAUUAUUCACUUAAAUAUCAAAAUUACCCAUUAGAAAAAAAUGUGAAAUACUCCUGAUCCAGCUUGUCAAGAGCGUAGCAUCUUUCUGACAUUUGUUAUGAUUAAGUAAUUAACUCAGUCCAUCUUAGCAGGAACCAAUAAAAUCAAUUAUUAAAAAGUGUUAAUUGAACACCAUGCCUGUUAGUGACUGGAUCCUUGUUAGCAUGUGGUCACACUAGGGAGCCAGUUCACAGUCAAUUGUGGCUAUUAGCAUUCUACAAUUAACACCUAAUUAAGAAAUAUUAAACAAAUAUGUCAUAAAAAAUAAUUAACUGUUUAAUCAGGAGACUAUUUGAUUGAAUUUUUUCAUUGCAUCUGACAUAGUGUAUUCUUUUUAUGGCAGGUAGUUAUAGAGAUCUAUAAAAAAAAUCUGUUGGAUUUUGAAAUAGGAACUAAAUUGAUGUACAUUUGUAAUUAUCCUUACAGAGAGCAUUAGCAUAAAAGUUCAGAAUUAUCUGUAAUUUGAACAUCUUUAAAAAGUGCAUGCAUAUAUAUACAAAUUUAAGAAACCCGA
rnacentral:lncRNA from 1 species